rnacentral:rRNA from 1 species
CCUAUGGGAGGCAGCAGUGGGGGAUAUUGCACAAUGGGGGGAACCCUGAUGCAGCGACGCCGCGUGGGUGAAGAAGCGCCUCGGCGCGUAAAGCCCUGUCAGCAGGGAAGAAAAUGACGGUACCUGAAGAAGAAGCCCCGGCUAACUACGUGCCAGCAGCCGCGGUAAUACGUAGGGGGCAAGCGUUAUCCGGAUUUACUGGGGGUAAAGGGGGCGCAGACGGCGAUGCAAGCCAGGGGUGAAAGCCCGGGACCAACCCCGGGACUGCUCGUGGAACUGCGUGGCUGGAGUGCUGGAGGGGCAGGCGGAAGUCCUGGUGUAGCGGUGAAAUGCGGAGAUAUCAGGCGGAACACCGGUGGCGAAGGCGGCCUGCUGGACUGCAACUGACGUUGAGGCCCGAAAGCGUGGGGAGCAAACAUGAUUAGAUACCCGUGUAGUC